rnacentral:rRNA from 1 species
AUGCAGAUGGCGGCGACCACAACGGAGUCACAGGUGGCCGUGCCGCCUCACCACCCCCACGCGCACCCACAUCCGCACCCACCUCCGCAUCACCCGCACCCGCACCAUCACAUGCCGCAGCCGCGGUGGGUCGUCCUCCCCUACCCGCCGCCGUCCAUGGUGGCCGCCCCGCCCCCGCCGCCGCCGCAGUUCGCCAAGCACUACGCGCCGGGGCCGCCGCCUCCCCCUGCCGCGGCCGGGCGACGCACGCCGACCCCACCCGCGGCCGGAUCCGGCGGGAACGGCUGCGAGGAGAAUAAGACGAUCUGGGUCGGCGACCUCCAGUACUGGAUGGACGAGAACUACCUCCAUAACUGCUUCGGCCCCAGCGGCGAGGUGGUAACAAUAAAAGUUAUCCGCAAUAGGCAAACUGGACAAUCAGAGGGAUAUGGUUUUGUAGAGUUCUUUUCCCAUGCAUCAGCAGACAAAGCUCUUCAGAAUUUUACUGGUCAUGUGAUGCCCAACACUGAUCGAGCCUUUAAGUUGAACUGGGCAUCCUAUAGCAUGGGUGAAAAGCGAUCAGAAGUUGUCUCUGACCACUCAAUUUUUGUUGGUGAUUUAGCUGCUGAUGUUACUGAUGAAAUGUUGAUGGAGCUUUUUGCUAGCAAGUAUCGCUCCGUGAAAGGAGCUAAAGUUAUCAUUGAUGCAAACACAGGCCGUUCUAGGGGCUAUGGAUUUGUUAGAUUUGGAGAUGAUACCGACAAAGCUCAUGCAAUGACUGAAAUGAACGGUGUUUAUUGCUCUACUAGACCGAUUCGCGUAGGACCUGCAACGCCUAGAAGAACCUCUGGUGAUUCUGGUUCCUCAACCCCUGGCCAUUCAGAUGGUGAUUCAAAUAACAGAACGGUAUAUGUUGGUGGGCUCGACCCAAAUGUUAGUGAAGACGAGCUGAGGAAAUCAUUUGCCAAAUAUGGUGAUGUUGCCUCUGUCAAAAUUCCUCUAGGGAAGCAGUGUGGCUUUGUUCAAACUGAUGCAGAAGAAGCACUGCAAGGAUUGAAUGGGGCUGUCAUUGGAAAGCAGGCAGUUCGCCUUUCGUGGGGCCGCAGCCCAUCACACAAACAGUCUAGGGGCGAUUCCGGCAACAGGAGGAACAACAACAAUAUGUACUAUGGCACGCCGUUCUACGGCGGGUACGGCUACGCAUCCCCCGUCCCGCACCCGAACAUGUAUGCCCCUGCGUAUGGAGCCUACCCCUUCUACGGCAACCAGCAGCUGGUGAGCUAG